rnacentral:rRNA from 1 species
AACGUAGGACGCAAGCGUUAUCCGGAGUUACUGGGCGUAAAGCGCGGGCAGGCGGCUCGAAACGUCUGAUGUGAAAUCUCCUCGCUCAACGGGGAGAGGCCAUUGGAAACGGUCGAGCUGGAGGGCAGUAGAGGUAGGCGGAAUUCCGGGUGGAGUGGUGAAAUGCGUAGAGAUCGGCAGGAACACCCAGGGGGAAACCAGUCGACUGGGCAGCACCUGACGCUGAGGUGCGAGAGCGUGGGGAGCGAACCGG